rnacentral:rRNA from 1 species
AAACCUUCAAGGCUGCUCAUUGGAGUGAGGACAUGGUCGGACAUUCACCCUAUCAUCCAUCGACUCAUUGUUGCUGAUAUCAUAGAAAAAUGGGACCUGGAAGAUACACCAGAAACAGAAGAAAAAUUUCUCAAAAUUGCGGAAGAGCGAUAUAGAGGCUGGCGAUCAAGUCUAAGCUCCACUUACAAGGCAUACAAAACAAAUGCAGCUAGAUGGGCUAAUCUGCUGGAAGCUUUACAACCAAAAGAGUGGGAAUGGAUGAUUGAGUACUUUGGCACUCAUUCAAAGUUUCAGGUUAUCUCUAAGAUCACUCUUUGUCUAGUAUGUGUUAAGAUGAAAUUGCUUUUCUGUCUGGUUAUAUUUUGUUACGAUGAAUUGAUAGGAAAGCAACCAAAAGAACACCGAUUGUCGCAAGUAACAGAACACAAAACACAUAAUUGGAUCAAAUCUUACUCGCAACUAAGUUUGAGAAGGUAUGAGUCUAACUAA